rnacentral:lncRNA from 1 species
AAAAGGAUAGGAGAAAGAGAGUAAGAGAAGGACGGUGUAGCAUUGGCAGUGAGAUUUCACCGGUGGAGGUGGGUAUCGAUGGAGAUUGUUGGGUGGAGAUUUCACCGGUGGAGGUGGGUAUCGAUGGAGAUUGUUGGGUGGAGAUUUCACCGGUGGAGGUGGGUAUCGAUGGAGAUUGUUGGGUGGAGAUUUCACCGGUGGAGGUGGGUAUCGAUGGAGAUUGUUGGGUGGCGUUGCUAUUGGUGAGAUGCCACCGGUGAUACUCAAGAAACUAAGUAAUUCCCUCUGACACUGAGUAGAUCGAAA